UCUCAGCCAAUCUAAUUAACGUUUUUGCGUGAACCUUCCUUCACGAAAUGGCGACUUUGACAAGUACCGAUUAUUCUAAUGAUUUCGACGUUAAUUGGUAUAUUGACACAUAUUAUUCUGCAGUUGCUGGGUGUCAUGAAGAAGGAGACUUCUUGACCUUUAUAUUAAUGGCACUGCAUGAUAUUUUUAAUGCAGGCAAUGUCCACGGAAACACUUAAUUAGAUAUAGGUACUGGUCCAACAAUUCACACCGUCAUUAGUGCAUGUCCAUACGUACACAAGAUAAUACUAUCGGAUUUUUCACAAGUUAAUAGAGACGCAUUGGAGCAUUGGAAAGAUAACAAAUUACAGACCGGAAGUGCAUUAUGUCAAUUUGUACUAGGCCUUGAAGGAGGAAAGAUUCACCAGACAGUCCCUGAACGAUUUGAAGAGAUUCGCCAGAAAAUCAAAGAAAUACUUCCGGUUGAUGUGAACAAAUGGCCUCCAAUACAGCUUGGGGAAGAUUGCCCUGAUAUAAUUGUCUCAAGUCUUUGUUUUGAAGCAGCAUGCCUAGAGGUUCCAGACUACAAUAAAAUAGUUCAGAAUGUUGGUCGUCUUAUGACCCCAGGCUGCCAUCUCGUUUUAGUCGGAGUAUUAGACCAGACAUUUUACAGAGUUGGUAAUUUCAGGUUUUCUUGUUUGAAAAUAACUGAGUCUGAUUUAAAAGCGGCUUAUGCAACAAAUGGAUUUGAGAUAAAAUCUUGGAAAGAAUAUAUUCCCCCGCCAAGAAAUGCAGAGGAAGACGAAUUUUCGGAUUUUCAGAAAGCGUUUGUGAUGCAUGCUGUCAAAUUAUAAUAAUUCGAUCAAAAGAGGAACUUGAUUGACAUGUGUAACACUGCAAUCCGAAAAUACUACAACAAUUUCGUACACACCAAAUGAGAUAACACUAUGCAUUCUAGCUUCAAUACUUCAACAAUUUAGUAAAUACUUAAUUAGAUAAUUAACGUUUGCUCAAGCAUUGUAAUUAAGACUGACAUCUGCAAACAAUAUAAAUAGGCGGAGUUGAACCUGUAUACAUUAUACUUAAAUUUGAUUGGAUGCUAUCCUGGAGGUAAGGAACAACCAAUUGUACAUGUAAACAUUACAAGACAAUAUGAGUACAGGUUUAACUCCGUCCAAUCUAUAUUGUUUGCAGAUGUCAAUCUUAAUUACAAUGCUUGAGCAAACGUUUAUAUAAACAAAGCAAGCAAGCCAAACAAAGUCUUAAUCUACAAGCAUUAGGAAAUUAGCUCUAAUGUUUUCUAAAAGAAACUUAAGUUUUUGAAUUUCACAUGGCAUAAAAUAAUAAGAAUCACUGAUAUCAUGCAGCUUAUUUUGUUGAGUUUUGAAUGCAAUAUGACGUUUUUUUCUAGUCUUAGUUCCAGUUGGUGCAUAAGUCUAUGGUCUGUAAUAAAAGAGGAAUAACAAAUCAGAUAUGAAUACAAAUGAAAUAUAGUAGAGAUAGACGUGUUGACAAUUGACUAAUUCAAUAUUACCGACUUUUGACUCCGGAUUCUAUAAUUUUUCCACAGGUUACCUACUCUAUGGUAGGACAUCCUGGUACUCGGUCAAGUUAGAGCAACCAAAAGAAAUAAAUUCAAACAUAUAUUAGGUGCAAGUUUGGGAAAACUGUUUUUUGAUGAUUUUGUGAUGUAUAGAAAACAUAAAAAAAAUUACGCCCCCCCCCUCCACCCCAAAAAAAAAAUUGUACCGAUUGUAAGCCUGAUUUUACUUCUUUAUUCUUUAAAUUUUUGUUACUUGACCGAGUACCAGGAUGUCAUACGACAGAAGGAUAUUACCUGUCGAAAAAAUAUAAUCUCCGGACUGAAAAGUUGGUAAAAUAAGAAUAGUCUUUUGACGCAUGUCAAUAGUGAACAACAGUCUAUUGACACAUGUCAAUUCUAAGUGAUUUGAUUCCUUCUAUUUGAAAAAAAAACAUUUUAUAUACUGCUACAAGUGUGGACACAGAUCAGUGUGGAUAGUAUGAUUGGAUGUUUGACAGUGUUUUAUAUGACAAAAGGAGUUCUAUGUUUUGUUUUCUAUGUAUUAACUGUGUUGCACAAUGACAACCAACAUGAGCACUAGGGGUGUUGUUUAUGUAAUAUUUAGUUUUUUAUGUUCAACACGGCAUGGAAGAGAUACUAAUUGCAUUAAUUACCAAAUGAUUAUGAUAGAAUAUAUAUGUUCCACAU